GACGAACGCUGGCGGCGUGCUUAACACAUGCAAGUCGAACGGACCCUUUGGGGUUAGUGGCGAACGGGUGAGUAACACGUGGGUGAUCUGCCCUGCACUUUGGGAUAAGCCUGGGAAACUGGGUCUAAUACCGGAUAGGACUACGCACUGCAUGGUGUGUGGUGGAAAGCUUUUGCGGUGUGGGAUGGGCCCGCGGCCUAUCAGCUUGUUGGUGGGGUGAUGGCCUACCAAGGCGACGACGGGUAGCCGGCCUGAGAGGGUGACCGGCCACACUGGGACUGAGAUACGGCCCAGACUCCUACGGGAGGCAGCAGUGGGGAAUAUUGCACAAUGGGCGCAAGCCUGAUGCAGCGACGCCGCGUGAGGGAUGACGGCCUUCGGGUUGUAAACCUCUUUCGCCAGGGACGAAGCGCAAGUGACGGUACCUGGAGAAGAAGGACCGGCCAACUACGUGCCAGCAGCCGCGGUAAUACGUAGGGUCCGAGCGUUGUCCGGAAUUACUGGGCGUAAAGAGCUCGUAGGUGGUUUGUCGCGUUGUUCGUGAAAACUCACAGCUUAACUGUGGGCGUGCGGGCGAUACGGGCAGACUGGAGUACUGCAGGGGAGACUGGAAUUCCUGGUGUAGCGGUGGAAUGCGCAGAUAUCAGGAGGAACACCGGUGGCGAAGGCGGGUCUCUGGGCAGUAACUGACGCUGAGGAGCGAAAGCGUGGGGAGCGAACAGGAUUAGAUACCCUGGUAGUCCACGCCGUAAACGGUGGGUACUAGGUGUGGGUCUCCUUCCUUGGGAUCCGUGCCGUAGCUAACGCAUUAAGUACCCCGCCUGGGGAGUACGGCCGCAAGGCUAAAACUCAAAGGAAUUGACGGGGGCCCGCACAAGCGGCGGAGCAUGUGGAUUAAUUCGAUGCAACGCGAAGAACCUUACCUGGGUUUGACAUGCACAGGACGCCGGCAGAGAUGUCGGUUCCCUUGUGGCCUGUGUGCAGGUGGUGCAUGGCUGUCGUCAGCUCGUGUCGUGAGAUGUUGGGUUAAGUCCCGCAACGAGCGCAACCCUUGUCUCAUGUUGCCAGCACGUUAUGGUGGGGACUCGUGAGAGACUGCCGGGGUCAACUCGGAGGAAGGUGGGGAUGACGUCAAGUCAUCAUGCCCCUUAUGUCCAGGGCUUCACACAUGCUACAAUGGCCGGUACAAAGGGCUGCGAUGCCGUGAGGUGGAGCGAAUCCUUUCAAAGCCGGUCUCAGUUCGGAUCGGGGUCUGCAACUCGACCCCGUGAAGUCGGAGUCGCUAGUAAUCGCAGAUCAGCAACGCUGCGGUGAAUACGUUCCCGGGCCU
rnacentral:rRNA from 1 species